UACGAAGGGGGCUAGCGUUGCUCGGAAUCACUGGGCGUAAAGGGUGCGUAGGCGGGUCUUUAAGUCGGGGGUGAAAUCCCGAGGCUCAACCUCGGAACUGCCUUCGAUACUGGCGACCUUCGAGUCCGGGAGAGGUGAGUGGAACUCCGAGUGUAGAGGUGAAAUUCGUAGAUAUUCGGAAGAACACCAGUGGCGAAGGCGGCUCACUGGCCCGGUACUGACGCUGAGAUACGAAAGCGUGGGGAGCAAACAGG
rnacentral:rRNA from 1 species